rnacentral:rRNA from 1 species
ACAGAUCGUAGCUUGCUACACGCUGACGAGCGGCGGACGGGUGAGUAAUGCAUAGGAAUCUGCCCGAUAGUGGGGGAUAACCUGGGGAAACCCAGGCUAAUACCGCAUACGUCCUACGGGAGAAAGGGGGCUUCGGCUCCCGCUAUUGGAUGAGCCUAUGUCGGAUUAGCUAGUUGGUAAGGUAAUGGCUUACCAAGGCAACGAUCCGUAGCUGGUCUGAGAGGAUGAUCAGCCACAUCGGGACUGAGACACGGCCCGAACUCCUACGGGAGGCAGCAGUGGGGAAUAUUGGACAAUGGGGGCAACCCUGAUCCAGCCAUGCCGCGUGUGUGAAGAAGGCCCUCGGGUUGUAAAGCACUUUCAGCGAGGAAGAACGCCUAUCGGUUAAUACCCGGUAGGAAAGACAUCACUCGCAGAAGAAGCACCGGCUAACUCCGUGCCAGCAGCCGCGGUAAUACGGAGGGUGCAAGCGUUAAUCGGAAUUACUGGGCGUAAAGCGCGCGUAGGUGGCUUGAUAAGCCGGUUGUGAAAGCCCCGGGCUCAACCUGGGAACGGCAUCCGGAACUGUCAGGCUAGAGUGCAGGAGAGGAAGGUAGAAUUCCCGGUGUAGCGGUGAAAUGCGUAGAGAUCGGGAGGAAUACCAGUGGCGAAGGCGGCCUUCUGGACUGACACUGACACUGAGGUGCGAAAGCGUGGGUAGCAAACAGGAUUAGAUACCCUGGUAGUCCACGCCGUAAACGAUGUCGACCAGCCGUUGGGUGCCUAGAGCACUUUGUGGCGAAGUUAACGCGAUAAGUCGACCGCCUGGGGAGUACGGCCGCAAGGUUAAAACUCAAAUGAAUUGACGGGGGCCCGCACAAGCGGUGGAGCAUGUGGUUUAAUUCGAUGCAACGCGAAGAACCUUACCUACCCUUGACAUC